GUUGAACGCUGGCGGCAGGCCUAACACAUGCAAGUCGAGCGGAGCGGCGAACGGGUGAGUAAUGCCUAGUAAGCUGCCUGGUGUGGGGGAUAACGUCCGAAAGGGAUCACUAAUACCGCAUACUAUCAGAUGAGCUUAGGGCGGAUUAGCUAGUUGGGGGGGUAAAGGCAUACCAAGGCGACGAUGCGUAGCUGGGCUGAGAGGAUGAUCAGUCACACUGGAACUGAGACACGGUCCAGACUCCUACGGGAGGCAGCAGUGGGGAAUAUUGGGCAAUGGGCGAAAGUCUGAUCCAGCAAUGCCGCGUGUGUGAAGAAGGUCUUCGGAUUGUAAAGCACUUUAAGUUGGGAGGCGGUACCAACAGAGUAAGCCCCGGCUAACUACGUGCCAGCCGCCGCGGUAAUAC
rnacentral:rRNA from 1 species